rnacentral:rRNA from 1 species
AUUGAACGCUGGCGGCAUGCUUUACACAUGCAAGUCGAACGGCAGCGCGGGCUUCGGCCUGGCGGCGAGUGGCGAACGGGUGAGUAAUGCAUCGGAACGUGCCCAGUAGUGGGGGAUAGCCCGGCGAAAGCCGGAUUAAUACCGCAUACGACCUGAGGGUGAAAGCGGGGGACCGAAAGGCCUCGCGCUAUUGGAGCGGCCGAUGUCGGAUUAGCUAGUUGGUGGGGUAAAGGCUUACCAAGGCGACGAUCCGUAGCUGGUCUGAGAGGACGACCAGCCACACUGGGACUGAGACACGACCCAGACUCCUACGGGAGGCAGCAGUGGGGAAUUUUGGACAAUGGGGGCAACCCUGAUCCAGCCAUGCCGCGUGCGGGAAGAAGGCCUUCGGGUUGUAAACCGCUUUUGUUCGGGAAGAAAGCCUCUGGGCUAAUACCCCGGGGGGAUGACGGUACCGGAAGAAUAAGCACCGGCUAACUACGUG